rnacentral:lncRNA from 1 species
AUGUAUUAUUUUGUUGGUAUUCAGAAUUCCAAGAAACAAGGUAGCAGUGAUUCUGUUCUGGCGUUCUGUUCUGGUGUUCUGUUCUGGUGUUCUGUUCUGGGUGAUUCUGUUCUGUGUGUGAAACAAGGUAGCAAUGGUUCUGUUCUGUGUGUGAGCAGAAAUUCUGUUUUGAUCCCACCACAAGAGCUGACCAACUUUAUCAACCAUCUGGUUUGCAGUAUUUGUGAUGUUCUAACUGAUUCAACGCUGAUUGUUGAUUAUUUCACAAAAGCUGACCAACUUUAUCAACCAUCUGGUUUGCAGUAUUUGUGAUGUUCUACCUGAUUCAACGCUGAUUGUUGAUUAUUUCACAAAAGGAGAUUUGGAGUGCAGAGCUCUUCCAGAUUCAUUUUCAUAAUGUAUAAUUUUUAUAAUAUACAACAAAAAAACAAUAUAAAUAAUUAAUUAUAAGUCUAAUUUCAUGGUGAUUAUAUGCGUUGGUUUUAUUGCGGCACUUAAUUUUUCAGAGCAUAAUUAAUCUAAUUAAUUCUAAUAUAUUUGUAAUAUUUUAUAAUAUACCAAUCAUCUCUAAUUCAUUUUUCAUUUUCUUUGAUAUAAAUCCCAAUUAUUGUUCACCAAUCAGCCAUGGAUGGCUAAUCAGUAAACUUAUAAAGACAAUUUCUUCAUUUUUUUGGAAUGACAUUUGAACGAAGUUAAACAGAAAGGAACCAAGCCACAUCGGGAUCAAACUGAGAAAAAGAGGUUUUUAAGUUUGGCUCCUGCAUAAGACUCAAUGUAAAAGAUAAACUUCAAGUUCAAUUUCUGCAAAAUUUGCUCCAACAAAAACUUUGAAUUUUGGCGAUAGAUAGUAGAGCAGUGGUUGAGUUCAAUACCACUCAAAACUCAAUUUUUUCUAAAAUAUGGUUGGUUACUUUCUGCUUAACUCAGUCCAUUUGAUCCUUUGACCAUUAAAGAGUCGCUGGAGGUCAAAUAAAACUGCUGGCAUCGGCACGCAGCACUCUGAACUAGAUUGUUAGGGUAUAAAUCAUGAUGGAGUCAGAGGAUUCACUCGGAAUUCCUUCAGCUCAUUGAGUAUGCAAUUUCAUCUCUGGAGAGUUCAAAUAGUUGCUUGAGGUAAAAGGAAACUUGUGAAAGCUGCAUGGUGCACGCGGUACUCUCAGCUAGCCUGAUUUCUGAUGGAUGCAACACGGCUUGCGUUUGCCGGAGGGGAGUGAUGUUAAACAUCGUGAGUUCUUACACGGGUGUUUCAAAUGUGACAAAAUCAGCAAAAGUUGGACGGUUUUCAGUUUGUGGCGUCAAGCUUAAAGAUUGGAAUGGGUUGCCUAACGAAAAGCUGUGGCGUCCAUUGGAGACCAGGCUUUAAACUGUUGAGGCUAGAAUUUCUUACUAGUUCCAUUAAAAACUCCUUCAUUUUGCGGGUAUGCUAAAUGGUCCCUGGGGAGUUAAAAUUGUUGCUUGAGGUCGGAGGAAUCUUCUAUUUUUCAUCCAUUUUAUACUUCAAUUUUCCAAGAACUUAAUCUUUUUUCCCUGUCAAAGAAGGUUAAUUGCGCACUCGGACCGAAAGAAAUGUCCCAAAACAGCAAAAUAAGCCUCACAUCUGUAUCAUAUUCGAUCAAGUUUUCUCUCAUUUUCUCAAUUCCGCAAGAUGUAUAAUGAUUCAAUUCCACAAAUAAUGCUUUGGUACAGUG